ACCUGCUGUAGUGAGAGACUCAGCUCUGGUAGAUCUACACCUGCUGUAGUGAGGGACUCAGCUCUGGUAGAUCUACAGUCAGUAAUAGGUCCUGAGGGAGAACUAUGGUUUCAGACGUCCUCCAGCGGCCUUGUCCUCACCACAGAGCCUCCUCUACAACACUAUAAAGAUCACACUGUUCUCCCUAUCUUAUCAUAGAGACCUCCACUCAGCCAACCAUUCAGCUCCCCCUUCCUUGCUUUACAUAAAGAUCACACUGUUCUCCUAUCUUAUCAUAGAGACCCCCACUCAGCCAACCAUUCAGCUCCCCCUUCCUUCCUUUACAUAAAGAUCACACUGUUCUCCUAUCUUAUCAUAGAGACCCCCACUCAGCCAACCAUUCAGCUCCCCCUUCCUUCCUUUACAUAAAGAUCACACUGUUCUCCUAUCUUAUCAUAGAGACCUCCACUCAGCCAACCAUUCAGCUUCCCCUUCCUUCCUUUACAUAAAGAUCACAUCACCAUCCAAAACCAGGUAUUCCAGUUUCACUCAAAUGGCAAACUAAUUAAACAAUCAAUCAAUUAUAAUGAAAUGACAUCAUCCUAUUCUCUAGCGUAGGACACAAUGCAGUGUGAUGUGGAAGGAGAGGUCAGGGAUGUAUGCCUGGUUGACAAGUGACCCCAGGGGAAUGUCUCUUUAUAUGAAAUGUGACUCAGUGUGUUCACUGUACAGCCCUUCCUCUCUGUGUGUUUUUGUUGAACUGUCCUUGUGGGUACUAGGCAUCAUCAUAAGGAUAGUAAAACAAGGAAAAUGUGGCCAAGUGGGGACAUUUUGAAGAUCCACAUGAGAAAAAAUGCUAUUUUAGGCUCAGGGGUUCCAUUUAGGGUUAGAAAUAAGGUUAGGAGUUACGAUUAGGUUUAGGAGUUACGAUUAUGUUUAGGAGUUCCGAUUAGGUUUAGGAGUUACGAUUAGGUUUAGGUAUAGGAGUUAUGGUUAGGUUUAGGUAUAGGAGUUAUGGUUAGGUUUAGGUUUAGAUUUAGGAGUUAGGGUUAGGUUUAGGAGUUAUGAUUAGGUUUAGGUAUAGGAGUUACGGUUAGGUUUAGGAGUUAGGGUUAGGUUUAGGUUUAGGAGUUAGGGUUAGGUUUAGGUUUCGGAGUUACGAUUAGGUUUAGGUUUAGGAGUUAGGGUUAGGUAUAGUUUUAGGGUUAGGUGUUUGGGGUUUGGGGUUAAGGUUAGGGUUAUGGUUAGGUUAAGGGUCAGGGUUAGGGUUAGGGAAAAUAAGAUUUUGGAUGGGAACACAUUUUUUGGUCCCCACAAGGAUAGCAAUACAAAACUGUGUGUGUCUGUAUGUGUGUGUGUGUGUGCACAUGUUUAACUACACUUGUGGUCCAUUUUGCCAGUCCUCACUGGUAAAAAAGCUAUUUAAGUCUUAGGGGUUAAGUUUAUGGUUAGAAUUGGGGUUAGUGGUUAGGUUUAGGAGGUAGGGUUAGGGCAGGGAAUUAGGUUUAGGGUAAGGGUUAGAUUUAGGGUUAGGUUUAGGAUUAGUGGUUAAGGAAAAUAGGAUUUUGAAUGGUAAUCAAUUGUUGGUCCCAAAAAGUACUCACAAGUAUAGUAAAACAUAGCUGUGUGUGUGUGUGUGUGUGUGUGUGUGUGUGUGUGUGUGUGUGUGUGUGUGU
rnacentral:lncRNA from 1 species